GCGAGGGUGGCGGAAUUGGCAGACGCACUAGCUUGAGGGGCUAGCGGUAGCGAUAUCGUAGGGGUUCAACUCCCCUCUCUCGCA
rnacentral:tRNA from 1 species